GUGAAAGUGACCAGCCUUUGUUUUGACUGCGGAGAAAAACAGCCCAGUUGGGGUUCACAGCCUGUGGUCCACAUCUUGGGAACACAAGCGAUGAGAUUCAGCCUCCAAAUGGAACUGUGAUAAGUAAUGGGAUCCUAAACACCUCUGGAAAUAGCAGUGAACCUGUGGGUACAGCCUGGACCAGACUAAGCAUCUGCCCCUCUGCCUGCUCUGUCCCAUCCCCACCCGUUGGCCACAGUGGCUCCCUAAAGAUUAUGCUGAAAGGAGGAGAUGCAUGUGCAGAACAGAGAAAUUUAACAUGAAUAGGAAAGUCUGGGGUUUCCAUGCCUCAACCACCGUUUACUGUGUCUUGGGUUUUCCAACUCUGCUGCUACACAGUUGCCUGUGCUCAGUACAAAAUUCAACUAUAUCCAGAAGAGUAAACGGGGGGAGAUGGAGGCCUGAGAAUUUUCCCUCGUGGGACCAGGGAUGCAGAGCACAUUUGCAAUGGAGCUGAAUAAUUCACAGUUUGGGAGCUAUAAGGGAAAAUAUGACCCCCCUUCUGCUCCUGUAUUUCUAAACUCCCAUGUGUCAGUCAUCUAGAACAACCCUUAUGCUGGAAACUGGAUGAAUCAGUUUGGCUCAGGCUAUCACUUGGAUAACUACAAUUAAAAACUAGAUACAGAGGGCAAACAAACAUCUGUUGGGCGCCUUAUCUACAGAGGGCCCUUGACUUUGUCUUGACAGUUAGCACUCUGUGGUGAAUUAUAAUCUCCACUAAUUCACCCAAGUGGUAUUUAUCUCUUCAGACCUGGUAAAGAUCCCAUGUGCUUAUUGUUGCCAUGACUUUGUGUCUUCUCCAGCCAAAGAAUAACUAGGCUUCCGUACUAUGCUUUGAACAAAAGGUUUGACUGGAAACUGACGGGAUAAUGCCAGGGUGUCAUGGAUUUGUUAGGUUGCAUGCUGUGAUGAAUGAUUUCUGAACAACCUGGUAUGGACCCCUGUAAGCAGCUAAAUUACAAAAGAGAUGAAAAAGUUUCUUCACCGUGGACCUUCUGACAUCAUUGGUUUUAACUCUGCUGGCAUGCUUAUUCCUAUGACUUCAUUAACAGCCAAAUCCUGAUACAUCAAAACCAAUGUAAGAGCUUCUUGUGACUUCAGGGUCAUGCCGAAUUUGCUUGUCUGGCACUGAGUGCUUAGGCCUGGUCUACACUACAAAGUUAGGUCAAUGUAAGUCAUCUUGGAUCAGCCUAUUUGCGCAUGUGUCUACACUCAAAUUUGUCACUGGCUGAUGUAAGUGCCUCACUACAGCGACACAGUAAAAACACUGUCCGAACUGCGGAGAGCCAUGGUUGACCUACUGAGGUCAAUGCAGAGCGGGCAUAGCCACUGUAUAACAUGUGUCGAUUCCAACAACCUCCACCAGCUGUCCCAAUGGACAGUAACCACCCUGGUUAUAUUUUUAAACUCUGCUGCCUACGGGUCACAGAGGCUGGAAACCACACACACACCCCCCAACUUAAAUCCCCGGUGUGCUUUUGAAAUAUCUCUUCCUGAUUGCCCAGCUUGGCGAGCACACACACAGCAGCUCACCUUUGUUACAUGCAAUUGCCUUGCCUAACUGACCAUGCCAGCUCCACGCACACAAACAUACUAGACACAGUCCUGCCUGCAGUAGACAGAAAGUAUUGGAUUUCUUGGGCAUGGACCAGCUGUAGAAACGUGGCCAUCCCUGAGCAGAUUGCAUGGGGGGUGCAGGGAAAGGGUUAUGACAGGGAUCAGCAGCAGUGCUGUACGAAGGAACUUUGCCAGGGGUAUCACAAGGCCAGGGAGGCCAAUGAUGGAUCUGGUGCUGCGCCACAGACCUACCACUUCUACAAGGAACUGCAUGCCAUCCAUGGUAGAGACCUCACCAGCAACUCACAGACCAUUGUGGAUCCCUCAUGGGAGCCCAAGACCCCGGCUGUGAAUGGCAAGGAGGAGGAGGAGGAUGGGAUGGGGGAGACAUAGCAGGGGACUCCAGCAAUGCUGUGAGGCAGGAGCUGUUCGAGGCUCCACCAAAGUCCAGCAAGUCCUACCAGGCGAGCACAGAUGAGCCUAAUGAAGGGGGAAGAGAACUCAGCAGCUUUCGGCAGGGUGGCCUUGAGGGAUGCUCCUUGCCAGCAGAACACCUGACCCUGAAGAGGAGGAGAAAGAAGAGAAUGAGGGAGGACAUGAUUUGUGAGAUCCUGCAAGCCAGUGCUGCAUCAGACCAUGAACAAAGGGCUUGAAGGGCCACCGUGACCAACAGCAUGGAGAAGGAAAGAGAGAACAAAGAAAGAGGCCCCAGGAGUUGCAGCAGGAAAUGUAGCAGAAUGUAGUAGUUCUUCUCAGUCAGCAAACUCAAGUGCUGCAGGCCUUGAUUGACCUACCAGUCCAGAAAUCCCAGACCUGCCCACCCUUUGCAGUCCUUGGAGAAUUCCAUGGUCGCUGCUCCCUGCACCUCCUAAUAUACCACAUGGC